GUUAUCACUAAGAGUUGUAAAAUGUUUUAUGACUAAAAUAUUAUUCUCAGUUGUUAUUCAUUAUGUGUUUACAGCGCCCUCUGUGGUUGCUCCAAGUAAUGCACUUUAGAAACGGCUUUAUGUUGAAAAAAAAACUUUAUUGAACAGGAAGUCCGCUCAGUCAAGCAAAGCAAGCGAACAAGGAGAAGGGAAACAUAUCGGCACACAGUUUAUGCUGUCCUGUUGGAAAAAAUACUGUCCACAUCUUCUGUUUAUGGUUGUAUCGCCGUUUUACCCUUUUGAAUGUCAGUAAACCUGUUGACAACGAUCAUCGGUCUCCAGAGUGGUGAUAUGAGAAA